UUUGUACUCCCUCUGUCCGAGAAUACUUGUCAUCAAAAUGGACAAAAAGAGAUGUAUCUCAAACUAAAAUACAUCUAGAUACAUCCCUUUUAUUCAUUUUGAUGACAAGUAUUUCCGGACGGAGGGAGUAGUAG
rnacentral:pre_miRNA from 1 species